UCCAACUUGGCGGAGUGGUUAACGCGUCAGACUUGAAAUCUGAUUCCCUCGGGAGCGUAGGUUCAAAUCCUGCAGUUGGAG